rnacentral:piRNA from 1 species
UGACAAGGGCAUUUCUUAAUGCACCAU